CUGGCUGGGGAAAAUGAUUGGA
rnacentral:miRNA from 1 species